AAACCAACCGGGAUUGCCCCAGUAGCGGCGAGUGAAGCGGCAAAAGCUCUAUUUUGAAAGCGCCUUGGCGCGUUGUAGAUUGGCGGGGUCUUGUUGGCGGCGCGCAGUUAAGUCCCCUGGAACGGGGUGCCGGAGAGGGUGAGAGCCCCGUGAGCUGCGUUGAGCCUGGAAGUCCCUGCUGCGGAGUCGAGUUGUUUGGGAAUGCAGCUCUAAGCGGGUGGUAAAUUCCAUCUAAGGCUAAAUACCGGCGAGAGACCGAUAGCGAACAAGUACAGUGAUGGAAAGAUGAAAAGCACUUUGAAAAGAGAGUGAAACAGUACGUGAAAUUGUUGAAAGGGAAGGGUAUUUGGCCCGACAUGGGUCCUGCGCACCGUUGCCCCCUGUGGGCGGCGCUCUGCCGGGGCCUGGGCCAGCAUCAGUUUUCUGGCGGGGAGAAUGAGCUGCGAGCCACACUGUGGGGACCGGCGCGAUGCCCGCACGGGGGACUGAGGACUGCCGCAGUAGGAUGCUGGCACAACGGCCAAAUACCGC
rnacentral:rRNA from 1 species